rnacentral:rRNA from 1 species
UGCGUAGGUGGUUGGAUAAGUCUGGUGUGAAAUCUCCGAGCUCAACUCGGAAAUGGCAUCGGAUACUAUUCGGCUUGAGGAUUGGAGGGGGACUGGAAUUCUCGGUGUAGCAGUGAAAUGCGUAGAUAUCGAGAGGAACACCAGUGGCGAAGGCGAGUCCCUGGACAAUUCCUGACACUGAGGCACGAAAGCUAGGGAGCAAACA